ACUCCUGCGGGAGGCAGCAGUGGGGAAUUUUGGACAAUGGGCGAAAGCCUGAUCCAGCCAUGCCUCGUGCAGGAUGAAGGCCUUCGGGUUGUAAACUGCUUUUGUACGGAACGAAACGGCCUUUUCUAAUAAAGAGGGCUAAUGACGGUACCGUAAGAAUAAGCACCGGCUAACUACGUGCCAGCAGCCGCGGUAAUACGUAGGGUGCAAGCGUUAAUCGGAAUUACUGGGCGUAAAGCGUGCGCAGGCGGUUAUGUAAGACAGUUGUGAAAUCCCCGGGCUCAACCUGGGAACUGCAUCUGUGACUGCAUAGCUAGAGUACGGUAGAGGGGGAUGGAAUUCCGCGUGUAGCAGUGAAAUGCGUAGAUAUGCGGAGGAACACCGAUGGCGAAGGCAAUCCCCUGGACCUGUACUGACGCUCAUGCACGAAAGCGUGGGGAGCAAACAGGAUUAGAAACCCGAGUAGUCCCAUG
rnacentral:rRNA from 1 species